CAAGUGCAAACAGGGACGAAAAUCGCGCCGGCGACCGAGACGGGUUGAUUACGCGUACGUUUGUACACAUGCUUCCGAGCCAUUGUCAGCAUCUCGUGGUGUAUCGCUUACACCUAGGUAAGUACUGCUCUCGUACCUAGUCGAACGUUAUUUUCGGUCACUCGGCGCGAUGACCGCGAGCCGCGUAUCGACAGCAGAAGUUGAAGCGACGCCGUUGUUAUGUGUUUCGACGGUUUCAACGUCCUUGCGACGGUGUUUGCGACUCGUGUCUUGGUGAUGUAUCGUGCGUUGUGCAACACGGAUCGUAUGCCUGCUCGUCAUCCUGCACGUUCUGAAGGUAAAUCAAAAUGAUUCGACGUAGCCCAACACGGAUCGACCUGAAGCUCGAUGAUUUGUUGGAAUUUGAGGCUAUAAGGAAGGAACGGGAAA